rnacentral:misc_RNA from 1 species
UACGGAGGGAGCUAGCGUUGUUCGGAAUUACUGGGCGUAAAGCGCGCGUAGGCGGUUACCCAAGUCAGAGGUGAAAUCCCGGAGCUCAACUCCGGAACUGCCUUUGAAACUAUGUAACUAGAAUCUUGGAGAGGCGAGUGGAAUUCCGAGUGUAGAGGUGAAAUUCGUAGAUAUUCGGAAGAACACCAGUGGCGAAGGCGACUCGCUGGACAAGUAUUGACGCUGAGGUGCGAAAGCGUGGGGAGCAAACAGG